GGCCCUUAUCUACACUUCUAAGACCUUGCUGAACGCUGCCCGCCCCCAGGCCAUCAGCAGGCUGGGCAGAGGGCAGUGAGGGGAACAAGAAGAGCUGGUUCCCUCCAUCUCCUGCCUCCUUGAAGAUGGAUGAAGGGAGAGAAGGUGAAGAAGAGCUGACUCCUGGACCAAAGUUCUCCGCUCUCCCCCACCCAAUAAACCCCGCAAAACACGGUCACUGAUCACCCAUGGCAUACAAGCUGGCUGGAUUCCACAGACCUGCUUUAUGAGCUAGGCUGGGGCAAGACAAUCGGUGUGUAAAAAACAAAAUGAUGGUUCAAUACCAAACAGCGACAUCAGUGAUGGUGAGCACAGACGAGACCCGCAGCUGAAUGAUAACGAAAGGGCUGAGAAAGACAGGGCCCAGGAAGGCCUCAGACAUGACGCUGCCCAGAGUGAGCCCCAGGACUGAGUAUUUGCCCCCUCAAAGUUCUCCCCGGCUGCGUGGACAGGAGCAGGAGCAGCCACUGCUGGAGGCCGGGAGGAGGGAGAGCUGGGCAGACGGGGAAACUACUAACAGCUACUAAACUCCCACUUAGGGAUCUCAUUUACCCUCCCAAACAAUUCCCUAGGUAGGCAUUAUCUCCAUGUCACAAACGUGUAAGUGAGGCUCAGAGAGGGUUAGUACCUUGCCCAAUGCACCCAGCUAUUGAUGAUUAAAAAAAUAAAGUGGUCAAAUGCAAUGAGCCAAAAACCUCAAUAUGAAACCACAAGCAACAGACUAACAGUAAAAUGGGCCAACACCAGAGGUUUUUUCAAAAUACGUUUCUGUUUAAGCGUAGAGUUCCGAGUGGGCUGGCAGUCCUUUCAAUACUGUGGAUGCUGAAUACAGGAAGCAACCUUUACAUACGCCUGGCUAGAGACCGGGGCUGGCUCGAGUCCACAGACAGGCAGGCAGGAGCUAUCGAACGCCCUCUCACCACAGACCAGAGAGGGCCAGCUUGGCAGGAGCCAAGAGAUGCUCCCUGGGGAGGUGGGGCCAGAAGAGGAGUCUGAAAGAGCAAGGUGAGGGUCAUGGGGGAAAAGUCAACCUUGGGCACAUGGCCCUCCGCUGGUAUGAGAGAGAACAACCCUGAGGAGGUCAGGAACUACCCACGUAAGGAGGUGGAAGAGAAGCAAAUAACAAGGGUGCCCUUUCAUUGACCCUUUCCUCUGGCCAAGUUCUGUGAUCCUCAGGACCAGCCCGAGUCGGGAUCUGUCCAUUUUGCAGCUAACAAAAGAGAAGCCUGGAGAGCAGUACAGGACUUGCCCAGGAUCACAGGAGGAGUGGGAAGUGGGGCUGGGGUGGAAUCCAGGUGUACCAGUACCUCUGUUCCAUGCCAGGAAUAGUGCACACGGUCCAGGCCCAUGCAUGGGAAAGGGGUGGAUGUGCUCCAACUGGCCUGCAGCCCAGGUGAACUGAUUUCUAGGCAGGGAUGUAGGCAGUCGGGCUCCCAGUGAGAGAGCAGUGCCUUUAGGACAGGUAGGACCACAUGCUCAAGCACAAAUGCCUGGGCCUCCUCAGAGUCCCUAUCGCAGACCAGCCCUCCUCCAGACAUGCUCAGGACUGCGGGU
ensembl:lncRNA